AGAACUUACAGCUGUCAGUUCUGAGGGAAGGCAGGCAAUGACCCACAGCCCAGGUGGGGCUCGCUAGCUUGGGGAGGAGGUGUGUGAUUCCUCAUCUGGAGAAGGUUCAGUGAUCAGCUGUGAGGGCAGACAAGCCUUGUGCUUGUUCCAACUUUAGGCACAUACUGUAAAUAUGAGUGUUUUGCCUGCAUAGUUUUGACUAAUGCCAUCGCUGUGAACAGCUGCAAGAAUAUAAGCUGGCUGUAAUUACUUUGUGCGUAAGAGAGAAACA